rnacentral:rRNA from 1 species
UAGUACGUGAAACUGCUUAGAGGUUAAGCCCGAUGAACCUGAAUAUCCAUUAUGGAAAAUUCAUCAUUAUGAUUUUAAUAUUUAUAAUAUUAUAAUAAUGGUGUGCAUUUUUUCUAUAAAGGACAUUGUAAUCUAUUAACAUACAUUAAUUUAUCAUAAGAUCAUUUGCGUAAGUUUAUUCAAAUUAUUUUGCUUGCAAUUUAAUAUCGAAUAAAUGCUUUUGAUUUGAUAAAGUGUUGAUAGAUUUAUUAUAUACAGUGCUUAAAUAUUUAUAUUUUAUAAUAGCAUAUUAAUCAAUGAUUUUUAUGUUCAUUAUAUGCACUUGUAUGAUUAACAAUGCGAAAGAUUCAGGAUACCUUCGGGACCCGUCUUGAAACACGGACCAAGGAGUCUAACAUAUUUGCAAGUUAUUGGGAAUAAAAACCUAAUAGCGAAAUUAACAUAACUUAUUUAAUGGGAUUAGUUUUUAGCCUAUUUAUAGUCUAUUAAUUCAAUCCCGGGGCGUUCUAUAUAGUUAUGUAUAAUAAUAUUUAUAUUAUUUAUGCCUCUAACUAGAGCGUACCUUGAGCAUAUAUGCUGUGACCCGAAAGA